CUUGAACUCCUGGCCUCAAGUGAUCUACCCACCUCAGCCUCUCAAAGUGCUGAGAUUAAAGGCAUGAGCCACCACGCCUGGCCUAUGUGCAUAUUUUAAUCAAAGUAUGAUCAUAAUUUGACCUUUUUAUUCAACCAUAUAAAUCAGUUUCUGUUUCAAUAAGUCAAUAUCUGCUUCCACAUUACUUUAAAUAGUUUCUGUCAUGCUGAUGAUAUAUACCACAAUUGAUUCAACCCAUUCACUGGGAACAAAAGAAUAAUUAUGACGAUCAGAGCAGUAACUAACCACUGAGCACUUAACACACGUUAGGAACAAUGGCGAUGUUACAUACAACAUUUCUUUUUUUUUUUUUUCCGAGAUGGAGUCUCGCUCUCUCGCACUGGCUGCCCAGAUCUCGGCUCACUGCAACCUCUGCCUCCCUGGUAUAAGGCAUGGCAGUCAGCCAACAGCAGGCAUCAUCAGACAACUUGGAAGAGGCUCAGAGGCAGAAACUGAAGUGUGAUGCUGCAUAUCUGGGGGAUGUGAACUGUACAUCUGCACACUGACAGAGAAAACCCAAAUGCUUGAUCCUGAAUCCACUAUGAAGGCAUGACCCUGGGCCCUCGCUGUGAUCAAUGGGACCUGAUAGAAAGUCUGCAGGUGGGUAAUUGGGAGAGGUUUUCCUCACUACUAAAAAGCAAUGCACAGGAGCAAAUGCCUUUCUUCUUUGGAGAUGAAACGUCUGCUUGUAACACCUGGAAGUGCUUUGACCAUCUCUUAACUAUGAGGAAAGACACUGCAGACAUAACAAGGACAAAAGAGCAGAAAGAUAGAAAAUAUUUGGGUCCUGCUGCUAUCCCUAAGCCACUGAAUUAGCCAGCCCCAGAAUGGCUCACCUCCAGAUUUUCUGGAGCAUGAGAUAGUCACUGUUCUAAUUAUUUAAGCUGCUUUAGUUGGGUUUCCGGUUACUUGGAGCUGAAAGUACCCUAAUUAACACAUUUAUAGGAUGUUUCUCUUUAAAGAUAGAGAAAAUACCAAGAUUUUAUAAAGAUGAAGUCUUCUAUGACUCCCUUAGGAAGCAUUAGGUCCAAAUCCUCCUAUUGUUCACAUAGCAAUAAGUAUUUCAUCU